GUUCUGCCUCACGGGCCACUCUAAGUGGCUGUACAGCUUGUUUGCUGCCUAUGGGUGCCUGGCCAAGGAGCCAAGUAGUCAGUUUGAAACCAAAAGACCCUUGCUAAUCGAAGUGUGAUCCAUGGACCAACCAUAGCAGCAUCAUCCGGGAGCUUGUUGGAAACAUCGCAUCUCAAGCUCUGCCUCAGACAUGCUGAACCGGAAUCUGCAAACAGAUACAGUUAUAGCCUUGCUUUCCAUCAUUUCAGAAAACAGGAUGCUGGUCGAUAAAAAUCCAGUUGAGAUAUAUCUGUACCUCUGUAUUUGAGAAGGUCGGUGAACUGUAUUCCCAGUGCCUAGAGCAGUGCCUGGCACAUGGUAUGUGCUGAAUGCAUAUCUUAUGAAUGAUGAAUUACAUGCUGCCAUUUUUGGUGACAGAUUGAAAAGAAGCAAGAGUUUCCUACAACAAAAGAACUACCUAUGGAGCGUACAUUUCUGCUUGAGGCAAAUGUAUUUGAAUCUGUGUAAGAAAAUAAAACCUGCAAAUCUGUCUCCUUGUAUGUGGAACCAGAGCUGGAAAUGUGUGCUCUAGAGGCAACUGUAAAAUCAUAUUUCACUCUGGCAUAUGGGCCAGUGAUUGUGCUGUGUGAGUAAUGCAUAUAUGUAAUCCAUGUGGUAAGCUUCGUGGACUGAGAAGAAGUCAGUGUUAUUCACUGAGGUUUGGCAAGCAGGAACCAUUUAUUUCGAAAAAUUUACAUGGGCUGAAACAACGUGAAAAAUGUACUGUCCAUUUUGUCAGCUUGUGAACACAUAGCAAAGACCACAGCACUCCCAUCAGCACGAAGACAGGGAAGAAAAUCUCUUUUUGCUGUUUUAUACUUACAGAAGAACGACUGCUCUUGUACAACAAGGGAAUUUAUGUUUAAUGCAUACUAUCUUCCACCAAAUCAAGUCCAAAUGAACCAGAGUUCCAAAAAAACUUUGACAGUACAAUACACUAAGGGGAGAGCCAAAAACUUCAUAUAUUGUAUUUUCAUUGUGUUGUUCAGAUCAAUUUUUAAUUGCUUUUAGCUAUGGAUUCUUGAGUUUUAAAGCAAUUACAAAAUAUCUUCAGGGACUUCCCUGGCGGUCCAGUGGUUAGGACUCCGCA